rnacentral:rRNA from 1 species
AGGGUUCGAUUCUGGCUCAGGAUGAACGCUGGCGGCGUGCUUAACACAUGCAAGUCGAACGGGAUCCAUCAGGCUUUGCUUGGUGGUGAGAGUGGCGAACGGGUGAGUAAUGCGUGACCGACCUGCCCCAUACACCGGAAUAGCUCCUGGAAACGGGUGGUAAUGCCGGAUGCUCCAGUUGGAUGCAUGUCCUUCUGGGAAAGAUUCAUCGGUAUGGGAUGGGGUCGCGUCCUAUCAGCUUGAUGGCGGGGUAACGGCCCACCAUGGCUUCGACGGGUAGCCGGCCUGAGAGGGCGACCGGCCACAUUGGGACUGAGAUACGGCCCAGACUCCUACGGGAGGCAGCAGUGGGGAAUAUUGCACAAUGGGGGAAACCCUGAUGCAGCGACGCCGCGUGGAGGAAGAAGGUUUUCGGAUUGUAAACUCCUGUCGUUAGGGACGAUAAUGACGGUACCUAACAAGAAAGCACCGGCUAACUACGUGCCAGCAGCCGCGGUAAAACGUAGGGUGCAAGCGUUGUCCGGAAUUACUGGGUGUAAAGGGAGCGCAGGCGGACCGGCAAGUUGGAAGUGAAAACUAUGGGCUCAACCCAUAAAUUGCUUUCAAAACUGCUGGCCUUGAGUAGUGCAGAGGUAGGUGGAAUUCCCGGUGUAGCGGUGGAAUGCGUAGAUAUCGGGAGGAACACCAGUGGCGAAGGCGACCUACUGGGCACCAACUGACGCUGAGGCUCGAAAGCAUGGGUAGCAAACAGGAUUAGAUACCCUGGUAGUCCAUGCCGUAAACGAUGAUUACUAGGUGUUGGAGGAUUGACCCCUUCAGUGCCGCAGUUAACACAAUAAGUAAUCCACCUGGGGAGUACGACCGCAAGGUUGAAACUCAAAGGAAUUGACGGGGGCCCGCACAAGCAGUGGAGUAUGUGGUUUAAUUCGAAGCAACGCGAAGAACCUUACCAGGUCUUGACAUCCGAUGCAUAGUGCAGAGAUGCAUGAAGUCCUUCGGGACAUCGAGACAGGUGGUGCAUGGUUGUCGUCAGCUCGUGUCGUGAGAUGUUGGGUUAAGUCCCGCAACGAGCGCAACCCUUAUUGCCAGUUACUACGCAAGAGGACUCUGGCGAGACUGCCGUUGACAAAACGGAGGAAGGUGGGGAUGACGUCAAAUCAUCAUGCCCUUUAUGACCUGGGCUACACACGUACUACAAUGGCGUUUAACAAAGAGAAGCAAGACCGCGAGGUGGAGCAAAACUCAAAAACAACGUCUCAGUUCAGAUUGCAGGCUGCAACUCGCCUGCAUGAAGUCGGAAUUGCUAGUAAUCGCGGAUCAGCAUGCCGCGGUGAAUACGUUCCCGGGCCUUGUACACACCGCCCGUCACACCAUGGGAGUUUGUAACACCCGAAGUCAGUGACCCAACCGCAAGGAGGGAGCUGCCGAAGGUGG